rnacentral:rRNA from 1 species
GACGAACGCUGGCGGCGUGCCUAAUACAUGCAAGUUGAGCGAUGAAGAUUGGUGCUUGCACCAAUUUGCAGAGCAGCGAACGGGUGAGUAACGCGUGGGGAAUCUGCCUUUGAGCGGGGGACAACAUUUGGAAACGAAUGCUAAUACCGCAUAACAACUUUAAACAUAAGUUUUAAGUUUGAAAGAUGCAAUUGCAUCACUCAAAGAUGAUCCCGCGUUGUAUUAGCUAGUUGGUGAGGUAAAGGCUCACCAAGGCGAUGAUACAUAGCCGACCUGAGAGGGUGAUCGGCCACAUUGGGACUGAGACACGGCCCAAACUCCUACGGGAGGCAGCAGUAGGGAAUCUUCGGCAAUGGACGAAAGUCUGACCGAGCAACGCCGCGGGAGUGAAGAAGGUUUUCGGAUCGUAAAACUCUGUUGGUAGAGAAGAACGUUGGUGAGAGUGGAAAGCUCAUCAAGUGACGGUAACUACCCAGAAAGGGACGGCUAACUACGUG